AUUGAACGCUGGCGGCGUGCUUAACACAUGCAAGUCGUGCGGUAACAGGCGUAGCAAUACGUGCUGACGAGCGGCGAACGGGUGCGUAAUACAUGGGAAUCUGCCCUUUAGUGGGGAAUAACCCGGCGAAAGCCGGGCUAAUGCCGCAUAAGAUCUUCGGAUGAAAGCGGGGAUCGUAAGACCUCGCGCUGAUGGAUGAGCCCAUGCCGGAUUAGCAGUUGGUGAGGUAAAGGCUCACCAAGGCGACGAUCCGUAGCUGGUCUGAGAGGACGGCCAGCCACACUGGGACUGAGACACGGCCCAGACUCCUACGGGAGGCAGCAGUGGGGAAUAUUGGACAAUGGGGAAACCCUGAUCCAGCGACGCCGCGUGUGUGAAGAAGGCCUGCGGGUUGUAAAG
rnacentral:rRNA from 1 species